UACGUAGGGGGCAAGCGUUGUCCGGAUUUACUGGGCGUAAAGCGCAUGUAGGCGGCCCGGCAGGUCGGAUGUGAAAUCCCUCGGCUCAACCAAGGAAGUGCAUUCGAAAACCGCCAGGCUCGAGUCCCGGAGAGGAUGGUGGAAUUCUCGGUGUAGAGGUGAAAUUCGUAGAUAUCGAGAGGAACACCGAUGGCGAAGGCAGCCUCCUGGGCCAGCACUGACGCUCGAUGCACGAA
rnacentral:rRNA from 1 species